UAAUACGGAGGGUCCAAGCGUUAAUCGGAAUUACUGGGCGUAAAGCGCGCGUAGGCGGUUUAGCAAGUUGAAUGUGAAAGCCCUGGGCUCAACCUAGGAACUGCAUUCAAAACUACUAAGCUAGAGUACGAGAGAGGAGAGUAGAAUUUCUGGUGUAGCGGUGAAAUGCGUAGAUAUCAGAAGGAAUACCAAUGGCGAAGGCAGCUCUCUGGCUCGUCACUGACGCUAAGGUGCGAAAGCGUGGGUAGCAAACAGGAUUAGAUACCCUGGUAGUCCACGCCGUAAACGAUGAGAACUAGCCGUUGGACAGAUUUAACUGUUCAGUGGCACAGCUAACGCAUUAAGUUCUCCGCCUGGGGAGUACGGCCGCAAGGCUA
rnacentral:rRNA from 1 species